GCAUUACUGACGAGUCCCAAACAGGACGAAACAGUUGUCCAGUGU
rnacentral:hammerhead_ribozyme from 1 species